AUGUUGAAAGAUCUCCAACACCAAAGAGGAGGAAAUCAUCAUAGCCAUUCAGAAAAGAAUAGAACUCAUCAGCACACAACAGAAACAAAUAUGCUGUGUUCGGAAGUUGAUUUGGAACACUAUGCUGAUGGCCGUAUUACUAGAAAUGAAAGAAGCAAUUUACAUUUGUUCACUUCAGAUAAAAGGAGUAACUGCCAGAAAAAAAAAAACAGGACAAUACAAAUUUUCCAUUUUGGAAAAGAAAAACAUAAGGUAGAAAUCCAAGUCAAAAACAAUAGUGUGUUCGACAUAUAUAGUUUGUACAACUAUACAGGCAAAAAAUAA
rnacentral:rRNA from 1 species